rnacentral:rRNA from 1 species
GCUUGUCUCAAAGAUUAAGCCAUGCAUGUUCAAGUAUAGCAAGUGUACAGUGAAACUGCGAAUGGCUCAUUAAAUCAGUUAUAAUUUAUUUGAUAGUGAAAUUGUACAUGGAUAACCGUGGCAAUUCUAGGGCUAAUACAUGCGUCAAUGGUCGGUCGACCAGUAUUUAUUAGAUACAAAGCCAGCCGUCAGGAUCAGGUGAGUCAUAAUAACUGAACUAAGCGCAUGCUUUGGCGGCGCUGUUUCAUUCAAGUUUCUGCCCUAUCAGCUUUCGAUGGUAGGGUAUUGGCCUACCAUGGCGUUCACGGGUAACGGAGAAUUAGGGUUCGAUUCCGGAGAGGGAGCCUGAGAGAUGGCUACCACAUCCAAGGAAGGCAGCAGG